rnacentral:rRNA from 1 species
AUCGAACGCUGGCGGCAGGCCUAACACAUGCAAGUCGAGCGAGCGGCGGACGGGGGAGGAAUGUCUGGGAAACUGCCUGAUGGCGGGGGAUAACUACUGGAAACGGUAGCUAAUACCGCGUACCAUCCGCUGUGCCCAGAUGGGGUUGGCUAGGUGGGGGGGUAACGGCUCACCUAGGCGACGAUCCCUAGCUGGUCUGCGAGGAUGACCAGCCACACUGGAACUGAGACACGGUCCAGACUCCUACGGGAGGCAGCAGUGGGGAAUAUUGGACAAUGGGCGCAAGCCUGAUGCAGCCAUGCCGCGUGGGUGAAGAAGGCUUUCGGGUUGUAAAGCACUUUCGGCGGGGAGGCGGUACCCGCAGAGGAAGCACCGGCUAACUCCGUGCCAGCAGCCGCGGUAAUUC